AUGGCUAAGAUCCGGGAGAGGAAGACGAGGGAUAUUGGCCAAGUCAAAUGCAUCAAGGACGGAGCAGGCCAACUCUUGGUGAAGGACGAAGAGAUUAAGCAUAGAUGGCGGGAGUACUUCGACAAGCUGUUCAAUGGGGAGAAUGAGAGUUCUACCAUUGAACUGAAUGACUCCUUUGAUGAGACCAACAUGCGUUUUGUGCGGCGCAUCCAGGAGUCUGAGGUGAAGGAGGCUUUAAAAAGGAUGAAAGGAGGCAAGGCGAUGGGCCCUGAUUGUAUCCCCAUUGAGGUGUGGAAAGGUCUCGGGGACAUAGCGAUAGUAUGGCUAACCAAGCUUUUCAACCUCAUUUUUCGGGCAAACAAGAUGUCAGAAGAAUGGAGACGGAGUGUAUUAGUACCAAUCUUCAAGAACAAGGGAGAUGUUCAGAGUUGUACUAAUUAUCGUGGAAUUAAGCUGAUGAGCCAUACAAUGAAGCUAUGA
rnacentral:rRNA from 1 species